rnacentral:rRNA from 1 species
AACGAACGCUGGCGGCAUGCCUAACACAUGCAAGUCGAACGAGACCUUCGGGCUUAGUGGCGCACGGGUGCGUAACGCGUGGGAAACUGCCCUUAGGUUCGGAAUAACUCCCCGAAAGGGGUGCUAAUACCGGAUAAUGUCUUCGGACCAAAGAUUUAUCGCCUUUGGAUGGGCCCGCGUUGGAUUAGCUAGUUGGUAGGGUACAAGCCUACCAAGGCGACGAUCCAUAGCUGGUCUGAGAGGAUGAUCAGCCACACUGGGACUGAGACACGGCCCAGACUCCAACGGGAGGCAGCAGUGGGGAAUAUAGGACAAUGGGCGAGAGCCUGAUCCAGCGAUGCCGCGUGAGUGAUGAAGGCCUUAGGGUUGUAAAGCUCUUUGACCCGGGAUGAUAAUGACAGUACCGGGAGAAUAAGCUCCGGCUAACUCCGUG